AUGUACUCGCCGUGCGUGGCAUCCUUGGCCGGCGGGGCGGGCGCUGGCCGGAGCUGGCGAGGCGGGGCCGUGGCCGAAGCGGGCAAGGCCGGGGCGGAGAUGGAGCGCGCGGCGGCCAGGCGGAGGUGGAGCGCGCGGCGGUCGCGGGCGCGCAAGCAGCAACGCCUGGAGGAGCUCCACGGGACGGUGGCUCGCUUCCGCGCGGAGAAGCGCGAGCUGGCCGCCAAGCAGCACGUCGUGGCGCGGCACGAGCUCGCCGUGCGCCGCCAGAAUGCGCAGCUCCCUGACGCGCGCCGCCUCCUCGCGUUGCAGCGGCUCAGCAGCAACUCCGGUCGCGUCGUCCGCAUCCGGCACUGGCAGCGGUCCGGGAGGAGCCGCUUUCCCGCCGGCGGCAGAGCUGGGGCUGGGAGGAGUCGCUCGUCCACUCCGGUCCCUGUCGGUCCGCCGCGCGCCGCCCCUGCCCGGCUCUCGUCUGCCGCGCGCCGCCCCCGUCCGUCUCUCGUCCGCCGCACGCCGCCCCACCCCGGCUCUCGUCUCCGACGCACACCUCCAUCGCUGGGUCGCCUCGCCGCCGUGCUUCCGGGGGCGCAAGAGUGGAAAAAAUUCCACCCCAAGUCGAAGUUUUCGCCGGCAGCUCCCCAGGAGGCGAAAAAAUGUCUUCUGGAGGUGCCAACGGCUGGUGAUGCUCUCAGCACUCAGGCUGGGGACAAAAGAACUAGAUAUUUUCACAUUUACUACAAGUUGCGGGUGAUUUUAGAUUCCGAGAUGUGCAACCGCAUAAUGCCAAUCAAGUUGGGAGUAAAACUAAAUUUUGAAGAAUUACUCCGAAUGAGACCUUAG
rnacentral:rRNA from 1 species